rnacentral:rRNA from 1 species
GACGAACGCUGGCGGCGUGCCUAACACAUGCAAGUCGAGCGAGAGACUUCGGUCUCUAGCGGCGGACGGGUGAGUAACACGUGGGUAACCUGCCUCAUAGAGGGGGAUAGCCUUCCGAAAGUAAGAUUAAUACCGCAUAUACUGUCGAUACCACAUGGUAUUUAGAGGAACGGAGCAAUCCGCUAUGAGAUGGAACCGCGGCGCAUUAGCUAGUUGGUGAGGUAACGGCUCACCAAGGCGACGAUGCGUAGCCGACCUGAGAGGGUGAUCGGCCACAUUGGAACUGAGACACGGUCCAGACUCCUACGGGAGGCAGCAGUGGGGAAUAUUGCACAAUGGGCGAAAGCCUGAUGCAGCAACGCCGCGUGAGUGAUGACGGCCUUCGGGUUGUAAAGCUCUGUCUUUUGGGACGAUAAUGACGGUACCAAAGGAGGAAGCCACGGCUAACUACGUGCCAGCCGCCGCCGUAAAAC